rnacentral:lncRNA from 1 species
CAUGUCUCAGCAGUCCUGCCAACUGGACCAAAACCUGAAAGUUCUGAGUGUUGCAACUGCAGAUGGAGAGGCAAUGCAUGUUAGCCAAAGGAAGAUUUUUCUGUGUGGGAUGCUUGGUGCCCUGGGAAGAAAAUGCAUUUGAUUUCAGAAGAGAGAUCAGAAGUGUUGAAGGAAACUUGUGUUGAAGCAUGAUUUCUUGGUAUAUUAACUGAGAAACAGAAGACAGCUACAUCCUUUUACAAUGCUGAGGAUCUUCACAUGUCCUAGGACAGCCAGAUUUGUAACAUUUAAGCUCAUCAUCGAAGUUAUGGUACUGUCAAACCUCUUGUUUAUUUGUUUAUUCAUUUCAUAUCUUCAUUAAACAACUGGGAGAGUAAUAUUUUUUUGGCCACUUAUUUUUUACUUAUAAAUCUC